AAACGUUUAAAAGAGACGUGGAGACAGGUGUCCAGGAAGAACUGUCAAAUAGUUAAAAAGAUCUUCCAAACAUGCCACCGGGAGAGCAGGAAGCUUCUCAAGGAGGAGGUGAUAUCUGUGAGGGCCACCCUGCAGAUGGACCCCCAGGGAGCCCAGGAGAGACAGCAGCAGCAGGUGAGGUGGCCUG